CCUACGGGAGGCAGCAGUGAGGAAUAUUGGUCAAUGGCCGUAAGGCUGAACCAGCCAAGCCGCGUGAAGGACGAAGGUUCCAUGGAUUGUAAACUUCUUUUGUAGGGGAAUAAAGGUAUGCACGUGAGGAUGAUUGCAUGUACUCUAUGAAUAAGCAUCGGCUAACUCCGUGCCAGCAGCCGCGGUAAUACGGAGGAUGCGAGCGUUAUCCGGAUUUAUUGGGUUUAAAGGGUGCGUAGGCUGUUUUUUAAGUCAGCGGUGAAAGCUCGGGGCUCAACCAUAACAGUGCCGUUGAAACUGGAAGACUUGAGUGUGUUAGAGGUAGGCGGAAUGCGUGGUGUAGCGGUGAAAUGCAUAGAUAUUACGCAGAACUCCGAUUGCGAAGGCAGCUUACUGGGCGAUAACUGACGCUGAGGCACGAAAGCGUGGGUAUCGAACAGGAUUAGAUACCCGUGUAGUC
rnacentral:rRNA from 1 species